rnacentral:rRNA from 1 species
UACGUAGGGCCCGAGCGUUAUCCGGUAUUAUUGGGCGUAAAGAGCGCGUAGGCGGUUUUGUAAGACAGUGGUUAAAUACCCGAGCUUAACUCGGGAGCUGCCACUGUGACUGCAAGACUAGACGAUAGCAGGGGCAAGCAGAAUUCUCGGUGUAGGAGUGAAAUCCGUUGAGAUCGAGAGGAAUACCAAUGGCGAAGGCAGCUUGCGAGGCUAUAUGUGACGCUGAGGCGCGAAAGCGUGGGGAGCGAACGGG